rnacentral:rRNA from 1 species
UACAGAGGCCUCGAGCGUUAGGCGGAAUCACUGGGCUUAAAGCGUGUGUAGGCGGCCUUCUAAGUCCCUUGUGAAAUCCCACGGCUCACCCGUGGAACUGCUCGGUAUACUGGUCGUCUUGAGCCUUCUAGGGGCGAGUGGAACAAAUGGUGGAGCGGUGAAAUGCGUAGAUAUCAUUUGGAACGCCAAUGGUGAAAACAACUCGCUGGGGAAGUGCUGACGCUGAGACACGAAAGCCAGGGGAGCGAACGGG